GACGAACGCUGGCGGCGUGCUUAACACAUGCAAGUCGAACGGAAAGGCCCUGCUUUUGUGGGGUGCUCGAGUGGCGAACGGGUGAGUAACACGUGAGUAUCCUGCCCUUGACUUUGGGAUAACUUCAGGAGACUGGGGCUAAUACCGGAUAGGAGCUCCUGCUGCAUGGUGGGGGUUGGAAAGUUUGGGCGGUUGGGGAUGGACUCGCGGCUUAUCAGCUUGUUGGUGGGGGAGUGGCUUACCAAGGCUUUGACGGGUAGUCGGCCUGAGAGGGUGACCGGCCACAUUGGGACUGAGAGACGGCCCAGACUCCUACGGGAGGCAGCAGUGGGGAAUAUUGCACAAUGGGCGGAAGCCUGAUGCAGCAACGCCGCGUGCGGGAUGACGGCCUUCGGGUUGUAAACCGCUGUCGCCUGUGACGAAGCGUGAGUGACGGUAACGGGUAAAGAAGCACCGGCUAACUACGUG
rnacentral:rRNA from 1 species